UGAGGAAUAUUGGGCAAUGCCCGCAAGGGUGACCCAGCAACGCCGCGUGGAGGAUGAAUGUCGUAAGAUUGUAAACUCCUGUUAGAGGGGAAGAAUAGUACCGGUUGGACCGGCAUAUGACUGUACCCUCAGAGAAAGCCCCGGCUAACUUCGUGCCAGCAGCCGCGGUAAGACGAAGGAUGCAAGCGUUAUCCGGAUUCAUUGGGUUUAAAGGGUGCGUAGGCGGGCUUGUAAGUCAGUGGUGAAAUCUCUCAGCUUAACUGAGAAACUGCCAUUGAUACUGCAGGCCUAGAGUAUAGAUGACGUUGGCGGAAUAUGACAUGUAGUGGUGAAAUACUUAGAUAUGUCAUAGAACACCGAUUGCGAAGGCAGCUAACGAAACUAUAACUGACGCUGAGGCACGAAAGUGCGGGGAUCAAACA
rnacentral:rRNA from 1 species